AGUGAACGCUGGCGGUAGGCCUAACACAUGCAAGUCGAACGGCAGCACAGUAAGAGCUUGCUCUUACGGGUGGCGAGUGGCGGACGGGUGAGGAAUACAUCGGAAUCUACUUUUUCGUGGGGGAUAACGUAGGGAAACUUACGCUAAUACCGCAUACGACCUACGGGUGAAAGCAGGGGAUCUUCGGACCUUGCGCGAUUGAAUGAGCCGAUGUCGGAUUAGCUAGUUGGCGGGGUAAAGGCCCACCAAGGCGACGAUCCGUAGCUGAUCUGAGAGGAUGAUCGGCCACACUGGAACUGAGACACGGUCCAGACUCCUACGGGAGGCAGCAGGGGGGAAUCUUGAACAAGGGGCGAAAGCUUGACCGAGCAAUUCGGCGUGAGUGAAGAAGGCCUUCGGAUUGUAAAACCCUUUUAUGGGGAAAGAAAAAAAGUGGAUGAAACCCCGCCUGUCUUGACGGUACCCAAUGAGAAAGCCACGGCUAACUUCGUG
rnacentral:rRNA from 1 species